UCAGACUACAUGAGCAUCUACUCAUAGUUUCACAUUCAAAAUUAACCUUUUUCUAAAUAUUCUUUGCUGCUUGCUCACUCUCUCUCUGAAUAGUUGGGCCAGUAAACUCAUUUUCCAUGAUAGUUACAGAGAGUAGAUAUAGAAGAAAUGCAAGCAUUCAAAGAGUUACAGUAGUAUUCCAGUGAUAACGUCUCCUCCCAGGCUCCAGUGAGGAUGUCUCUAAAAACAGCAGUGGUCUCUGAACUGCACGGUCCAGGACGCAUCAGAUUUUUCUUCCAUUUGAAGCCACAAGAUAAUAAGAGGAGGCUCCAAGAGAGGUGUGGAUCGCCCGCAAGAGGUCUGAACAGCAACAUGUAUUUUUACUGGAAGUCUGCUAACUAGCCAAAACCUUUGGAAAGUCAUGACACCAAUUUGGCAAAGUACUAUCUCUGUCUGCUUUAUUGAAAACAUCUUAGACAGCAUAAUAAAUAAAAUGC